rnacentral:rRNA from 1 species
AUUGAACGCUGGCGGCAGGCCUAACACAUGCAAGUCGAACGAGUGGCGGACGGGUGAGUAAUGUCGGGGAAACUGCCUGACGGAGGGGGAUAACUACUGGAAACGGUAGCUAAUACCGCAUACCAUCGGAUGUGCCCAGAUGGGAUUAGCUAGUAGGUGGGGUAAAGGCUCACCUAGGCGACGACGCCUAGCUGGUCUGAGAGGAUGAUCAGUCACACUGGAACUGAGACACGGUCCAGACUCCUACGGGAGGCAGCAGUGGUGAAUAUUAGGCAAUGGGCGAAAGCCUGAUCCAGCCAUGCCGCGUGUGUGAAGAAGGUCUUCGGAUUGUAAAGCACUUUAAGUUGUGAGGCGUUACCAACAGAGUAAGCACCGGCUAACUUCGUGCCAGCAGCCGCGGUAAUUC